rnacentral:rRNA from 1 species
UACGUAGGGGGCAAGCGUUGUCCGGAUUUAUUGGGCGUAAAGAGCGUGUAGGCGGCUGGGUAGGUCCGUUGUGAAAACUCGAGGCUCAACCUCGAGACGCCGAUGGAAACCCUCCAGCUAGAGUCCGGAAGAGGAGAGUGGAAUUCCUGGUGUAGCGGUGAAAUGCGUAGAGAUCGGCAGGAACACCCAGGGGGAAACCAGUCGACUGGGCAUCUACUGACGCUGAGGUGCGAGAGCGUGGGGAGCGAACCGG